AGUAGUAAAGCCUUUUGCAGCAGCAGACCCCAGCCAACUUUUAACAUUUUCCCACAAGUCCAUUCUGUAGCAUAGAGAAGCAGUCUGCUACAUUGGUUUACUUUUUGAAUAGGCUAAUGGCAGAGUUAUGUAUUUACACAACACUAAUCUUAAUAAACCAGUAAAUAUCAAUGCUCAGGCAGAACUCUUCUAAUGAGUGCAAGUGCAGGGUCUGCAAUUCUGGGAUAACUGCCCAUAGUUUCAACAGCACCAUGUGACAUUGCAUUUGGAACAAUUAAUUGUUACAAUUCAAGAGUCAGAUGUUACCCAUCUUUAUUUGGGGAAGUUCUCUCCUCUGUGAAAUGUACAAGCUGUGUACCCACAUUUGCAGGGUUUUGAUUGACACCUAGAUCAAAAUACUAGUGACUUACACUUGUAAGUUAUAGUACAUUUUGUUUUGAGGAACGUUUAUCAAUGUGCCAAACCCAGAACAUCAUUUGGGUUUCAGCUGCUUCAGAUUCACAAGCAAGACCUCUGCAGCUUAAUGAAACAGCUUUGGCAACUCAUUUACCCCUCCUCAGUUAAACAGAACAGAAGUUGACUGUAUUUCUUGGAGCUGUCCCUGGGGCUCCUCAGGCUGGCAAGCACGAAAUCUUCCUGUCUCUGACAGAGCAUAUGAGAACUGAGCUAUGGGGCUGAAGCAAAACUGACAACUAUGUAGACUACUGACUUUAUACAAGAUAUGUUUCUAUGGGCUAUUACACAUCAGCCUCGCCUGUCUACAGAAAAGAAACUAAGUAUUACCAAAUCAUGAUGUGAAGUCACAAACAAGUAUAUGUUUCUAUAUUGUCAUUAAGGUUAGCUUAAUGUACAAAUUAUUAUUAACCUAUAUUAAGCUGCAAGUUUAUGAGAGUCACAGUGUCUGCAAUAGCAAGGUAGGACAGAGCACCUCUCAGUCCUCUGUCUCUAUCUUAGAUUUUUAAUUAAAACUGUUCUAAUAACCCAAUCUUUUAACAGAAUUUAGCUGUCCUGCUUACUGGACAGCUAGAAGGAGCUUAGUAGCAAAUGACAAGGCAACCUCAUAAAACAGACUGACGUCUUGAAUCAGACUUACGGACACAGAAAGAUUUAAUUUAAAAAUAAAAACUGUUAAGCUAGAAUGAAUCAGAACAUGAUGAUGCUCAUUAUUUUGGGUGGAAAUAGCGAAAAGUAUAGAGGCAAACCAGAAAUAUUACCCAAUGAUUCAUCCAGUGAUGUAAAAAAAAAAAAAAACAACUUAACUUUUUCUUAUGCAGAAAGGACAUAUACAGCUA